AUUGAACGCUGGCGGCAGGCCUAACACAUGCAAGUCGAGCGGAUGAAGGGAGCUUGCUCCUGGAUUCAGCGGCGGACGGGUGAGUAAUGCCUAGGAAUCUGCCUGGUAUUGGGGGAUAACGUCCGGAAACGGGCGCUAAUACCGCAUACGUCCUGAGGGAGAAAGUGGGGGAUCUUCGGACCUCACGCUAUCAGAUGACCCUAGGUCGGAUUAGCUAGGUGGUGGGGUAAAGGCCUACCAAGGCGACGAUCCGUAACUGGUCUGAGAGGAUGAUCAGUCACACUGGAACUGAGACACGGUCCAGACUCCUACGGGAGGCAGCAGUGGGGAAUAUUGGACAAUGGGCGAAAGCCUGAUCCAGCCAUGCCGCGUGUGUGAAGAAGGUCUUCGGAUUGUAAAGCACUUUAAGUUGGGAGGAAGGGCAGUAAGUUAAUACCUUGCUGUUUUGACGUUACCAACAGAAUAAGCACCGGCUAACUUCGUG
rnacentral:rRNA from 1 species